rnacentral:ribozyme from 1 species
GAGGUUUUCCUUUUUGGAAAACUCGCGGGCAUCUCUAUUGAGAGAGGGCUCCACAACAUCUUCUUCCCCCUAUUUCUUCCACGCUGCCCUCUCUUCUUCUUCUUACUCUUCCC